UACGUAGGGGGCAAACGUUGUUCGGAUUUACUGGGCGUAAAGCGCGUGUAGGCGGCUUUGCAAGUCGGAUGUGAAAGCCCACGGCUCAACCGUGGAAGUGCAUCCGAAACUGCAUGGCUUGAGUCUCGGAGAGGAAGGUGGAAUGCUUGGUGUAGAGGUGAAAUUCGUAGAUAUCAAGCAGAACACCUGCGGCGAAGGCGGCCUUCUGGACGAUGACUGACGCUGAGACGCGAAAGCGUGGGGAGCAAACAGG
rnacentral:rRNA from 1 species